rnacentral:lncRNA from 1 species
GUCAAAUCAUCUAAAAUCAGAAUUUCAUUUCUUCGCCCCCACAUGUGAAUCUUCAAGCUAACCAUUAAACAUUACAUAAAACAUAGGUUUUUCCCCAUGUCCGUCAAACACUGUGUCAAUGUCAAGUGCUCAGGAUUACCAAAGAGCGCAUUCACAUGGGUGACUUGGCCAAUAAAACAUAUGGUUGGACAGAUUAAGCAGGCCAAAACCACACUUAUAUAUAAUAACAUACAUUUCACGAUAUUAAUAUUUCAAGUAUAAUCUAAUAGCCAAAGAACAGUUGAGUUCCAAAAAUAAAUAGGUCGCAAACAAACCAAAGACAGUUCUAAAUGCCAGCUGCUUUCACUUAUCAACUUUAGAGCCAUCACCAUCUGUUUGGAGGUCCAAUCAAAAGGUUCUACUGGAUCUGCCACAACGGUAGAAAGCAUCUUGGGUAGUAAUAGCUUCCAGAUUUCUUCUUCCUAAAGGCACCACAGUUUUGGACAGGAGAUGCCGCAUAAACGACAGUACUAUGAUAUGCUGGAUUUCUUUUUAUUCUUGGGUCACAUUGCAGUGAGUAAGUGAACACCGUCCAGAAAUUCACUCUUCUACAACAUUCACAAGCUCAUAUUCAAUCAGAGAGAGGUUGUUAUCUUCCUUCACGGUGAAAUUGGCAGGCUCUGCAACUUCAACACGGCCCCACUUGUCCACAGCAAGUCUCAUUGAUCCUUUAAACAUGUCAAUUUUUGCAUUGCGCAGAAUCACAGUAGUACCCUCUUUCAUCAGGUCCACUAAGCAACAACAAGCAAACAUUGAUUAGAACUGGAUUCAUAAUUUAAAACAACUACUAUAAGUUUGACAGUGUUUCUGAUGAAAGUAAGAUGCAAAUAACAAUGAUUCCACUGGUAGACCUAAAUAACCAUUGUUCAUGACCAAAAAACUUAGUAUAUAAGCCAUUUGGAUGAGUCCAGUUGCGGUUUUCUCAGUCGAGUCUAGACAGCCAACGCCUUUAAUGAUUUAGGGUAAGUUCAAAGCACUAGCUUCAAGCUCUGAAAUUCACAUAAACAAUCAUAACACCAUCAUAUGAUCCAUAAAACUGCUUAGCUAUGCAAAUUUUGAUACCAUUUUACUAUCCUGUCUAAUGAUAAAACUAGCAUACCAUUAUUCUUGUCCCGUCCCUGAAUUUAUGACCAUGAAUAUAGGCCGCACUAGAAACGCUUGUAAAGCAGCUUAUUGUCUUAUCUCAUGGCCAAUGGUUAUUUACAACAAAAUUUGAAGUGUUCAUUCUCAUACAUGAAUUACUAAUGGAACUUCCAAACAAGAGCUAACAUAUGGCAUCAUGUCUAGGAAAGAAUAAAGAAAAAGAAAUAAUCAACAUACUCAUGAGUUGGAACACACAGAUGAUGAAUGCUGCAAUAGCAAAACAACAUAAAUUCCAAAAUAAAUCCACAAAAAAUUAUAACAUGUCUGCAGCUCUGCACGAAUAUGUACCUUGAUCAUUUCUAGCAGUAAAGAUAAUCAUUCCUGUCUCAUCACCAACCAAGCAUUCAGCAAUUCGCAUCUGACGUACUUGUGUUCCAUCACCACGACCCUUCUGCAAUACCAUCUUCGUACUCACGACCUUCACUGUGAGAGUGUGCCCACUAGUACCCGGGCGUAGCUGAUCAACCUUGGUAAAAACUGGUUUCCUCAAUCCUGAUUU